rnacentral:tRNA from 1 species
GCGGCAAUAUUAAAGUGUCGACUAUAACCCUUAGCCUUCCAAGCUAAUGAUGCGGGUUCGAUUCCCGCUACCCGCC